GACGAACGCUGGCGGCGUGCUUAACACAUGCAAGUCGAACGGAAAGGCCCUGCUUUUGUGGGGUGCUCGAGUGGCGAACGGGUGAGUAACACGUGAGUAACCUGCCCUUGACUUUGGGAUAACUUCAGGAAACUGGGGCUAAUACCGGAUAGGAGCUCCUGCUGCAUGGUGGGGGUUGGAAAGUUUCGGCGGUUGGGGAUGGACUCGCGGCUUAUCAGCUUGUUGGUGGGGUAGUGGCUUACCAAGGCUUUGACGGGUAGCCGGCCUGAGAGGGUGACCGGCCACAUUGGGACUGAGAUACGGCCCAGACUCCUACGGGAGGCAGCAGUGGGGAAUAUUGCACAAUGGGCGGAAGCCUGAUGCAGCAACGCCGCGUGCGGGAUGACGGCCUUCGGGUUGUAAACCGCUUUCGCCUGUGACGAAGCGUGAGUGACGGUAAUGGGUAAAGAAGCACCGGCUAACUACGUGCCAGCAGCCGCGGUGAUACGUAGGGUGCGAGCGUUGUCCGGAUUUAUUGGGCGUAAAGGGCUCGUAGGUGGUUGAUCGCGUCGGAAGUGUAAUCUUGGGGCUUAACCCUGAGCGUGCUUUCGAUACGGGUUGACUUGAGGAAGGUAGGGGAAGAAUGGAAUUCCUGGUGGAGCGGUGGAAUGCGCAGAUAUCAGGAGGAACACCAGUGGCGAAGGCGGUUCUCUGGGCCUUUCCUGACGCUGAGGAGCGAAAGCGUGGGGAGCGAACAGGCUUAGAUACCCUGGUAGUCCACGCUGUAAACGGUGGGUACUAGGUGUGGGGUCCAUUCCACGGGUUCCGUGCCGUAGCUAACGCUUUAAGUACCCCGCCUGGGGAGUACGGCCGCAAGGCUAAAACUCAAAGGAAUUGACGGGGCCCCGCACAAGCGGCGGAGCAUGCGGAUUAAUUCGAUGCAACGCGUAGAACCUUACCUGGGUUUGACAUGGAUCGGGAGUGCUCAGAGAUGGGUGUGCCUCUUUUGGGGUCGGUUCACAGGUGGUGCAUGGCUGUCGUCAGCUCGUGUCGUGAGAUGUUGGGUUAAGUCCCGCAACGAGCGCAACCCUUGUUCACUGUUGCCAGCACGUUAUGGUGGGGACUCAGUGGAGACCGCCGGGGUCAACUCGGAGGAAGGUGGGGAUGACGUCAAGUCAUCAUGCCCCUUAUGUCCAGGGCUUCACGCAUGCUACAAUGGCUGGUACAGAGAGUGGCGAGCCUGUGAGGGUGAGCGAAUCUCGGAAAGCCGGUCUCAGUUCGGAUUGGGGUCUGCAACUCGACCUCAUGAAGUCGGAGUCGCUAGUAAUCGCAGAUCAGCAACGCUGCGGUGAAUACGUUCCCGGGGCU
rnacentral:rRNA from 1 species